CGCGACCCCAGGUCAGGCGGGGCUACCCGCUGAGUUUAAGCAUAUCAAUAAGCGGAGGAAAAGAAACUAACGAGGAUUCCCCUAGUAACGCGAGCGACAGGAAAAAACAACAAGUU
rnacentral:rRNA from 1 species